UUAUUUUGCAGGGAAUAAAUACAGUAACAAGUGAGGCAUAUAAGGGGAAUGGCCAAGUCAUGUAUGAAAAAUUGGGAAGAUUAUAAUGCCACACUAUAAAAAGAUAUUUCAAGACCAAAUAGCCAAAUUGUUUAUAAUGAGUCCCAGAAUGUAAUAAAGAAAGUAAAUGGACAAACCACAAAAAAAACCUUCUUUCUAAAAUAUGGAGUCUCAAAUCAUGUUGUAACUUCUAAAGAAAGGAACAUUUUGAAAUGCAAGACAUAAGUGAGUAGAAGACAGUAAUCUAAGUGCAUCCCUCCUUCCUAAGCUCAGGAAGCAUGAUGUGCUGUUACAACCAAUAAGAGCACUAAGGUAGUGGUUGCUAAUUCCAAUUUGGUCACAUCUAUCUAAUAAAACAACAUAAGUAAAUCUGUGUAUGUGUAGAAAGCUCAAGAACUUGUCACACAAACAUGAUCAAAAUGACUCAACUGGGUAGCAAAUGAAGAUGGGCACAGUCAUUCUGAAAUCCAUUUAGCAAAAUUAUCUGUCUCAAUUCUUUUCACAUCCCAGAAACCAGAUUAAGGAAGAGGUUGAAAUGGACAGGUUGAAGAAUUUUUAUGCAAUGAGAAGAUCAUCCCUUAAAUAAUAUAAAAACAGGUGGCUUCGUAAAGCUUAUAAUACUGAAUUGACAG